rnacentral:rRNA from 1 species
AUUGAACGCUGGCGGCAUGCCUUACACAUGCAAGUCGAACGGCAGCACGGGUGCUUGCCCCUGGUGGCGAGUGGCGAACGGGUGAGUAAUACAUCGGAACAUGUCCUGUAGUGGGGGAUAGCCCGGCGAAAGCCGGAUUAAUACCGCAUACGAUCUACGGAUGAAAGCGGGGGACCUUCGGGCCUCGCGCUAUAGGGUUGGCCGAUGGCUGAUUAGCUAGUUGGUGGGGUAAAGGCCUACCAAGGCGACGACCAGUAGCUGGUCUGAGAGGACGACCAGCCACACUGGGACUGAGACACGGCCCAGACUCCUACGGGAGGCAGCAGUGGGGAAUUUUGGACAAUGGGCGAAAGCCUGAUCCAGCAAUGCCGCGUGUGUGAAGAAGGCCUUCGGGUUGUAAAGCACUUUUGUCCGGAAAGAAAUCCUUGGCCCUAAUACGGUCGGGGGAUGACGGUACCGGAAGAAUAAGCACCGGCUAACUACGUG